rnacentral:rRNA from 1 species
AUUGAACGCUGGCGGCAUGCCUUACACAUGCAAGUCGAACGGUAACAGGUCUUCGGAUGCUGACGAGUGGCGAACGGGUGAGUAAUACAUCGGAACGUGCCUAGUAGUGGGGGAUAACUACUCGAAAGAGUGGCUAAUACCGCAUGAGAUCUACGGAUGAAAGCAGGGGAUCGCAAGACCUUGUGCUACUAGAGCGGCCGGUGGCAGAUUAGGUAGUUGGUGGGAUAAAAGCUUACCAAGCCGACGAUCUGUAGCUGGUCUGAGAGGACGAUCAACCAACCUGGGACGGAGACACGGGCCAGACUCCUACGGGAGGCAGCAGUGGGGAAUUUUGGACAAUGGGCGAAAGCCUGAUCCAGCAAUGCCGCGGGCAGGACGAAGGCCUUCGGGUUGUAAACUGCUUUUGUACGGAACGAAAAGCCCCGGGUUAAUACCCUGGGGUCAUGACGGUACCGUAAGAAUAAGCACCGGCUAACUACGUGCCAGCAGCCGCGGUAA